rnacentral:rRNA from 1 species
GACAGAGGAUGCAAACGUUGCUCGGAAUUACUGGGCGUAAAGCGCGUGUAGGCGGUCUGAUAAGUCGGACGUGAAAUCCCGGGGCUCAACCCCGGAAGAGCGCUCGAUACUGCCAGACUUGGGUUCUGAAGAGGAGAGCGGAAUUCCCGGUGUAGAGGUGAAAUUCGUAGAUAUCGGGAGGAACACCAGUGGCGAAGGCGGCUCUCUGGGCAGAUACCGACGCUGAGACGCGAAAGCGUGGGAAGCAAACAGGAUUAGAAACCCCGGUAGU